rnacentral:rRNA from 1 species
GAUGAACGCUGGCGGCGUGCCUAAUACAUGCAAGUCGAGCGAACGGACGAGAAGCUUGCUUCUCUGAUGUUAGCGGCGGACGGGUGAGUAACACGUGGAUAACCUACCUAUAAGACUGGGAUAACUUCGGGAAACCGGAGCUAAUACCGGAUAAUAUUUUGAACCGCAUGGUUCAAAAGUGAAAGACGGUCUUGCUGUCACUUAUAGAUGGAUCCGCGCUGCAUUAGCUAGUUGGUAAGGUAACGGCUUACCAAGGCAACGAUGCAUAGCCGACCUGAGAGGGUGAUCGGCCACACUGGAACUGAGACACGGUCCAGACUCCUACGAGAGGCAGCAGUAGGGAAUCUUCCGCAAUGGGCGAAAGCCUGACGGAGCAACGCCGCGUGAGUGAUGAAUGUCUUCGGAUCGUAAAACUCUGUUAUUAGGGAAGAACAUAUGUGUAAGUAACUGUGCACAUCUUGACGGUACCUAAUCAGAAAGCCACGGCUAACUACGUG